AUUAACAAAUAACUACUGUUCAGGUGUGCGUCUAGAUUUGAAAACUUUCAAAUGGAUGAGGCAACUUUAAUUUUAGUUUGUCCUCCUGCUUGUAAGGCAUAAAGGAAACCCAGGGCAUGAAUGUAACUGGUGCAGUUCAUUCUUAAUGUGAUAAAAUUGUUCCAAUCCUUAAUGUGUAUUUAAUAUUAUGUAUGGGAUAGUCAGUGUCUUAAAAAUGAAUCAAUCAAUCAGACACAGCAAAACAAAAAAAAAAAAAAAUAAGAGCUCCUCUUUUGCCCAGAUAAUUUCAUUUUCUCAAAUCUCGAGUAGUAUGUGGUAUUGGAUAGGAACACUAGUCAUUUGCUUGCUAUAGUUGGAAGGGGAAAAAAAAAAUCAAAGCUAUCUGACACCGAAGCAGCACUGGCUUACUCUUUCUUUGAGAAAAAAAAUGCAUUUGCAGUAUUGAAGUGUAACAUUGCAGGAUCCUUUGAGAGAAAUAUGGCAGCAGAGAGUUGCCAGAAAGUCUGAUUUGCCUUUCUGAAAUGUCAGUCUGGCUUAGAUGUUGAUAUUCUGAGGAUAUUUAGUUCAAGAGAGGAUGAUUUUAUUACAAGACAUUCAGGUAAAUUAAAUAUUUUAUUCUAAGAACUGUCAGCUGAGUAGGUUGCCAAUGGCAUGAUCAAUUCUUGAUGGUCUCAUAGAAAACAUUUUAAAAGUAUUGUUAACAUAAUGUUGUAUUUGUAAACAGAUGCAUUCAUGAUAUCACUGUCAGGAUUUGAUUUUUAAAGCCACUGCAUUUAAUAUUAGACUAGCAUCUCAUACUCAUCUGCUCAUGAAUUCAAAUGACAUCAUGUAGAAAUCAGUUUGUUAACUUACAGUCCUCACACUGAAAAUUUGGUAUUUGUACAGGGAUAUAGAGAUGCUUUGAUUAUUAAUAAUCAUUAAUAAUCAUGAGAGAUUUAUAACAAAGGUUCAUAAUAGGGUCUGAGAGAUCAGAGAUUAACUGUCUCCUUUUAUUUUCGACUUAAAGAACUUUUCCUGUUACAAAUGUGUCCCCAGCUUUCAUUUCAUUUAAAUAAUUUAAGACUAAUACAUGUUUGUGCAGAGUAUAUAUUACAUAUUGCAAUUCUGUCGUUUUUCAAAGUAACCAGAAUUUAAAGGAAGGAAAUUUUAUGACAAAGAUUAACGUUGUUUUAUUGAUUUCAAGUGAAAUAUGUGCUUUGAUUUAGCUAACUUGAAAAAAUUAUAAAUGUCAUCGCUUCAACAUGCCUUUUUUUUUUUUUGUGACUGGGUUCAUGGAAAAUGGAAAGCCAUCUGAAAAUGGCUACACUUGCUCCCUCGAAAUUUUAGUUUGGGGCAGAGUUAUGCAAAUAGUUUGCUCUCACAGUCAGUGUAAGAACUUCAUGUCUUUCUAUGUGCUGAACAUUUUUCACCUGAAUCACCUGUGUCAUAAUUUCUCUUCCCGUAGUUGCUAAUGCUUGUACUGUUAAUACAAGAGCACGUUUCAGAAAGCAUAUAGUCAUUUGGUUAGCAUAACUAUUUCACCCCCAUCCUCACUGGGACAGCAAAGCAUGGCAAACUUGACCGAAGUCUCUAAGUUGCUUCUCUAAGAAUAAGACUAGAUAGAUUUACUUAACAUAAAUGUAAUUUUUAUUAUUCAAAGCAAAUUAUGGCUGCACUCUAAUUAAAACCAGAGGGCAUAGAUCAUAACUGUUAGUUUAUGUGAACUUAUUUCUACCAAUAUUGUAUUUGACAUUGUGUGUGUGUGUGUGUGUGUGUGUGUGUGUGUGUGUGUGUGUGUAUACCAUAGAAACUACUGUUAGUGUUGGAUGACUCCUUUUUUAAAAGAAAUUUAAAGUUUGAUUUGUGCUGAAAAAAUGAAACUUUGUUUUAACAAACUUUUGCUUCAACUACCUAGUUAAUAAAUGAGGCUUAAAAUUGUUUCUUCACAAGAUUUUAGCAUAUUCUCUAAGCAGUGUAGGGUCUUUAUUACAGCCAGGAAUCCACUGAGAGAGAGAACCAACAUUUCCUAGAGAAAGGGCAGCUGUUAUACAUCGUCACAUCAGAGAAUCAGGGUUGUGAAUCCUGGGUCUUCAGUGUGUGCUGCUGGCUGCAUUUUAACUUUUUAAACCUCAGUCGCUUGGUCUGUUUAAUGGGGAUCAUUACAGUAGUAGAAAAUAAAUGUGAUGUGAAAACUAAACAGGAUGAGGUGUGUUGUGCACCUGGUGGAUCAUGCCUGUAGUUUUGAAUUUGUGCUCGAGGCUCACAAAGCAAAUAGAUGCCACACUAAGCCACAUGACAGUUAAUGUUUUUCGCUCCCAUAGUAUAGAACCUUGUCCUCUCUUUAAUUUCAGAGACCCCAGUCCUGUGAGAUUCUUUGAAGGACUGUGUGAAUUCCAUUUUAUGUGGCUGGGUGCUCAUACCAAUUUAAGGUAAUGUGUUUAUACUGCUAAGUGUAUGCAACUAUAUUCAGCCAAAUUGACUUUUUGUAAAGUUGUUUAGUAACUUUCAAAAGAGAUUAUUAGAAUUCUAAAUUGUAUUUCAACAUAAACUUCUGGUAAGAAAUAUUUACUAACAUUUAAAUGCAUAGUGAAACAUCGCAAAUUUAAAUAAUUAUAGCUAAGUUUCUUAACACUAAAGAUAAUAGUUUAAUCUUAUUCUUAAUUUUUUAUCAAUAAGUUUAAUUUCUUGUACCAUUGAGAUUUAUUUAGUUUUUAGCCUAUACUAUCUCCUUUUAUUUAACCCUUAAAUUUAGCAUACAUUUUCUUUCUUCAUGCUAUAAUUAUUGAAAAGUACUUUAUUUUACUUUAUAUCUAUAUAAUGACUACUUGAGCCUCACUUAUUGUUGAGUAUUUUAUAAUAACAUAAAAUUCCAUACUAGCAACUUGUAAGAGAUACUAGAUGAUAUUGAAUAUUUGAAUAUUGUUUUGUCAAAUGUUGCAACAAAUCAGUGAGGUUUUCC
rnacentral:lncRNA from 1 species